rnacentral:lncRNA from 1 species
AUCUUCUCGGCCUCCUCGAGCACAGAUCCGGCGGAGGAGUAGAAGUAGUCAUACAGUUUCUGGUAGUCUUUCUUGAUGAGAAAAGCCGGAAGACGGAAGGUGUGGAUGAGGGGCUCUUCGAGAAAAGCCGGAAGGCCAAGGGUAAGUAUGGGAGCUAGCUGAAACAGUACCCAUUUGGCAAUCAGACUAGGUCCAUCAGUCCCAACUUUUGUAUCGACGGGAUCUACACCAAAAUAACAC